rnacentral:rRNA from 1 species
AUACGUAGGGGGCGAGCGUUGUCCGGAAUGAUUGGGCGUAAAGGGCGCGUAGGCGGCGCGGUAAGUCUGGAGUGAAAGUCCUGCUUUCAAGGUGGGAAUUGCUUUGGAUACUGCCGCGCUUGAGUGCAGGAGAGGUUAUCGGAAUUCCCGGUGUAGCGGUGAAAUGCGUAGAGAUCGGGAGGAACACCAGUGGCGAAGGCGGGUAACUGGACUGCAACUGACGCUGAGGCGCGAAAGUGUGGGGAGCAAACAGGAUUAGAUACCCUGGUAGUCCACACGGUAAACGAUGAAUGCUAGGUGUAAGAGGUAUCGACCCCUUUUGUGCCGGAGUCAACACAAUAAGCAUUCCGCCUGGGGAGUACGGCCGCAAGGUUGAAACUCAAAUGAAUUGACGGGG